AACGUAGGUUCCGAGCGUUAUCCGGAUUUACUGGGCGUAAAGCGCGUUCAGGCGGUUUGGCAAGUCGGGCAUGAAAUCUCUCGGCUCAACCGGGAGAGGUUGUCCGAUACUGCUGGACUUGAGGGCAGUAGAGGGUGGUGGAAUUCCGGGUGUAGUGGUGAAAUGCGUAGAUAUCAGGAGGAACACCUGUGGUGUAGACGGCUCUCUGGACCGCAACUGACGCUGAGACACGAAAAGCGUGGGUAGCAAACAGG
rnacentral:rRNA from 1 species